rnacentral:rRNA from 1 species
AUAAUGGGUCAGCGACUUAUAUUCUGUAGCAAGGUUAACCGAAUAGGGGAGCCGAAGGGAAACCGAGUCUUAACUGGGCGUUAAGUUGCAGGGUAUAGACCCGAAACCCGGUGAUCUAGCCAUGGGCAGGUUGAAGGUUGGGUAACACUAACUGGAGGACCGAACCGACUAAUGUUGAAAAAUUAGCGGAUGACUUGUGGCUGGGGGUGAAAGGCCAAUCAAACCGGGAGAUAGCUGGUUCUCCCCGAAAGCUAUUUAGGUAGCGCCUCGUGAAUUCAUCUCCGGGGGUAGAGCACUGUUUCGGCAAGGGGGUCAUCCCGACUUACCAACCCGAUGCAAACUGCGAAUACCGGAGAAUGUUAUCACGGGAGACACACGGCGGGUGCUAACGUCCGUCGUGAAGAGGGAAACAACCCAGACCGCCAGCUAAGGUCCCAAAGUCAUGGUUAAGUGGGAAACGAUGUGGGAAGGCCCAGACAGCCAGGAUGUUGGCUUAGAAGCAGCCAUCAUUUAAAGAAAGCGUAAUAGCUCACUGGUCGAGUCGGCCUGCGCGGAAGAUGUAACGGGGCUAAACCAUGCACCGAAGCUGCGGCAGCGACGCUGAUGCGUUGUUGGGUAGGGGAGCGUUCUGUAAGCCUGUGAAGGUGUGCUGUGAGGCAUGCUGGAGGUAUCAGAAGUGCGAAUGCUGACAUAAGUAACGAUAAAGCGGGUGAAAAGCCCGCUCGCCGGAAGACCAAGGGUUCCUGUCCAACGUUAAUCGGGGCAGGGUGAGUCGACCCCUAAGGCGAGGCCGAAAGGCGUAGUCGAUGGGAAACAGGUUAAUAUUCCUGUACUUGGUGUUACUGCGAAGGGGGGACGGAGAAGGCUAUGUUGGCCGGGCGACGGUUGUCCCGGUUUAAGCGUGUAGGCUGGUUUUCCAGGCAAAUCCGGAAAAUCAAGGCUGAGGCGUGAUGACGAGGCACUACGGUGCUGAAGCAACAAAUGCCCUGCUUCCAGGAAAAGCCUCUAAGCAUCAGGUAACAUCAAAUCGUACCCCAAACCGACACAGGUGGUCAGGUA